rnacentral:rRNA from 1 species
UACGGGGGGGGCAAGCGUUGUUCGGAAUUACUGGGCGUAAAGGGUUCGUAGGUGGCCAACUUAGUCAGACGUGAAAUCCCUCAGCUUAACUGGGGAACUGCGUCUGAUACUGGAUGGCUCGAGUGCAGGAGAGGAACGCGGAAUUCCAGGUGUAGCGGUGAAAUGCGUAGAUAUCUGGAGGAACACCGGUGGCGAAGGCGGUUCUCUGGGCCUUACCUGACGCUGAGGAGCGAAAGCAUGGGGAGCAAACAGG